AAAGAAGAUGGUGUUCCUGAUGACAUGAAAGGAAAAGACAAAAUUGUGUUUGGCAACAUCCAUCAGAUUUACGACUGGCACAGAGACUUUUUUUUAGGAGAGUUAGAGAAGUGCCUUGAAGAUCCAGAAAAACUAGGAUCCCUUUUUGUUAAACACGUAAGUACGAUAGCAUUGCUUAUAUUCUGUUCUGAUGAUGUCAUCCUUAGUCAUUGGUUUGUCAGAUUAAAGGAGAACUCAAGUGCGUAUGUUUAAGAUAAAAUCAAACUGCAUGGUGUUAAUGAGUUGAAAUUAAAAUCCCUUCUUCAACAUGAGUUACCUGCUUUCCCAGUCACCUGGCUGAAGUUGGCUAUUUGGCUAGCAACAGUACAGGUUGGUUAGAGGAGACCAGAGCCAGGCCUGAACAGUAUCAUCUGGGGUGUCCGUGAACAGGCGGGUAUUGUUGAGUGGAGAUGUAACUGUACCUGCAGUGGGUUUAACAUAACAGCCAAAUAGUGUGUAUAUCGAAAAUAAGUGU
rnacentral:sRNA from 1 species